rnacentral:rRNA from 1 species
CCUACGGGAGGCAGCAGUGGGGAAUAUUGGACAAUGGGCGAAAGCCUGAUCCAGCAAUGCCGCGUGAGUGAUGAAGGCCUUCGGGUCGUAAAGCUCUUUUACCAGGGAUGAUAAUGACAGUACCUGGAGAAUAAGCUCCGGCUAACUCCGUGCCAGCAGCCGCGGUAAUACGGAGGGAGCUAGCGUUGUUCGGAAUUACUGGGCGUAAAGAGUACGUAGGCGGUUAUUCAAGUCAGAGGUGAAAGCCCGGGGCUCAACCCCGGAACUGCCUUUGAAACUAGAUAACUAGAGUCUUGGAGAGGUUAGUGGAAUUCCGAGUGUAGAGGUGAAAUUCGUAGAUAUUCGGAAGAACACCAGUGGCGAAGGCGACUAACUGGACAAGUACUGACGCUGAGGUACGAAAGCGUGGGGAGCAAACAGGAUUAGAUACCCUGGUAGUCCACGCCGUAAACGAUGAUAACUAGUUGUUCGGUCACUUGGUGACUGAGUGACGCAGCUAACGCAUUAAGUUAUCCGCCUGGGAGUACGGUCGCAAGAUUAAAACUCAAAGGAAUUGACGGG